UGCCUGUUCGAGCGUCAUUACAACCCUCAAGCUCUGCUUGGUAUUGGGCGUCACCCCCGGGUGCGCCUUAAAAUCCGUGGCGGCGCAUCUGGCUCUAAGCGCAGUAAUACUCCUCGCUACAGAGUCCUGGUGGAUGCUUGCCAGCAACCCCCAAUCUCACGGUUGACCUCGGAUCAGGUAGGGAUACCCGCUGAACUUAA
rnacentral:misc_RNA from 1 species